CUAGUUGCCAGCAUUCAGUUGGGCACUCUAAGGUGACUGCCGGCUAAAAGUCGGAGGAAGGUGGGGAUGACGUCAAAUCAUCAUGCCCCUUAUGACCUGGGCUACACACGUGCUACAAUGGGCGGUACAAAGGGUCGCGAACCCGCGAGGGGGAGCCAAUCCCAAAAAGCCGCUCUCAGUUCGGAUUGCAGGCUGCAACUCGCCUGCAUGAAGCCGGAAUCGCUAGUAAUCGCGGAUCAGCAUGCCGCGGUGAAUACGUUCCCGGGCCUU
rnacentral:rRNA from 1 species